rnacentral:rRNA from 1 species
CCGUAGCCCAAGAGAUCGGGAUAACACCUGGAAACAGAUGCUAAUACCGGAUAACUAACAGAUGAUGCCUAUCAACUGUUUAAAAGAUGGUUCUGCUAUCACUCUUGGAUGGACCUGCGGUGCAUUAGCUAGUUGGUAGGGUAACGGCCUACCAAGGCGAUGAUGCAUAGCCGAGUUGAGAGACUGAUCGGCCACAUUGGGACUGAGACACGGCCCAAACUCCUACGGGAGGCAGCAGA